UACGUAGGGGGCAAGCGUUGUCCGGAUUUAUUGGGCGUAAAGAGCGUGUAGGCGGCCAGAUAGGUCGGUUGUGAAAACUGGAGGCUCAACCUCCAGACGUCGACCGAAACCAUCUGGCUAGAGUCCGGAAGAGGAGAGUGGAAUUCCUGGUGUAGCGGUGGAAUGCGCAGAUAUCAGGAAGAACACCCGUGGCGAAGGCGGCUCUCUGGGACGGUACUGACGCUGAGACGCGAAAGCGUGGGGAGCGAACAGG
rnacentral:rRNA from 1 species